rnacentral:rRNA from 1 species
ACGGAAGGCAGCAGUGGGGAAUAUUGGGCAAUGGGCGAAAGCCUGACCCAGCGACGCCGCGUGAAGGAAGACGGUCUUCGGAUUGUAAACUUCUUUUAUAGAGGACGAAAGAAAUGACGGUACUUUAUGAAUAAGCCACGGCUAACUACGUGCCAGCAGCCGCGGUAAUACGUAGGUGGCGAGCGUUAUCCGGAUUUACUGGGUGUAAAGGGUGUGUAGGCGGGAUAGCAAGUCAGAUGUGAAAAUUAUGGGCUCAACUCAUAACUUGCAUUUGAAACUGUUGUUCUUGAGGGUCGGAGAGGUAACUGGAACUCCUGGUGUAGCGGUGAAAUGCGCAGAUAUCAGGAAGAACACCGGUGGCGAAGGCGGGUUACUGGACGAUUACUGACGCUGAGACACGAAAGUGUGGGGAGCAAACAGGAUUAGAUACCCUGGUA